rnacentral:lncRNA from 1 species
GGAAAUAGGAUGGCAGUGAAAAUAACAUGUGCCAGGCACCUCACACCCGGAAACAGCAGAUUGUUCUCCAUAGAAGCUGCACCAUUUGCAAUCUCACCAGAAGUGUAAGAAGGUUCCAGUUUUUCCUUCUCCUUGUGGCAAUGGAAAGAACACAAAGAUGAAUCAAGACGCUGAUGUCUGGCUGCUAUGGGUGUGAUGUGAGGAAUCAGCCACAGACCUGGAGCCAGAAGACCUGGGUAGCAAGCCCACUUCAGUCCCUGAGGAGCCUGCAGAGCCACAACUGUCAAGAGCCAAUGAAGGGUUACGUUGUGAUGUGGUCUCCAGUGCGCUUUUGAAAACUUGGUCUCAAAGCAGAGCUGGAACGGACUGGAGAGGGGCAGAUGUCUUCCCAUUACAGCAUGAAUCCUGCUGGGGGGAUGAGAAACGAGGGGGAGAAGGAAAAGUAAUAGAUCCACACAGGAAUGGUGCCUCUGGGUAGCAGUGUCGAGUUGGGAAGAUGGAUAAG